GCGGCACAGCUCAAUUUGAAUCUGGCCUCUUGGGGUCCGAGUUGUAAUUUGUAGAGGAUGUUUCGGGUACCGCCUCGGUUUAAAUUUCUUGGAACAGAAUGUCAGAGAGGGUGAGAAUCCCGUCUUGAACCGGUGGUAGGGCCUAUGUGAAACUCCUUCGACGAGUCGAGUUGUUUGGGAAUGCAGCUCCAAAUGGGUGGUAAAUUUCAUCUAAAGCUAAAUAUUGGCCAGAGACCGAUAGCGCACAAGUAGAGUGAUCGAAAGAUGAAAAGCACUUUGAAAAGAGAGUUAAACAGUAUGUGAAAUUGUUGAAAGGGAAGCGCUUACAACCAGACUUGAGCGCGGCGGUUCCCCCUUGCUUCUGCUUGGGUUACUCCGCCGUGUCCAGGCCAACAUCGGUUCUGGGGGUCGGUCAAAGGCCCUGGGAAUGUAUCUACCUACGGGUAGACUUAUAGACCAGGGUGUCAUGCGGCCUCCCGGGACCGAGGAACGCGCUCCGGCUCGGAUGUUGGCGUAAUGGUUGUCAGCGAC
rnacentral:rRNA from 1 species